GGUUAUGAACAAAAACAGGAAGCAGAAGAGAAAGUUGUGUGCCAAGAAGUGACAGGAUCUGACCUUUCGGAACCAUUGCUUUGAUUGCUGCACUGAAAAACAAGAGCAAGCGAGCCAAGGAAUGAUCGGGCAAGCCAUCAGGAAGACCUUGCAGCGAGCCAGCUAACACAUGCUGUUUCUUAGUCCACGUCAAAGGCAGAGUCUGGUGGAAAGGGUAAACCGUGUCUAGACCUACCGGUAGCUCUAAGAAGAAGAGGCCUGAGGACUCAUUUUUACACAUGAAGAGAACUGAGAAGACAGCAGAAGCCUUGGUUGCGUCUCUUAAACUCAUAGAGCUACCAUCACCCUAGUUGUCAACUCCAUCAGAGAUCUGAGAAGGAGAAAUUUCAUCAGAGUAAGCAGAAAAUAUGGAUCAAGAAGCUCCAGAGUCUAAUAAAAAUGACAGACACUUACUGGCUACCUGAACAAUCA